UCGCAUCCGCCAACCGGUUCAGCCGUGUCGCGGAAGGUUUCUUAAACCACCUAAUGCUUUCUGGAGAAAGCGAAAGGCCAGCG
rfam:Acidovorax sp. SCN 68-22 ABS38_C0027, whole genome shotgun sequence.